rnacentral:lncRNA from 1 species
AUUUUCCCUUAUUUCCUCCCUUCUCUUCUAUUGUCUUCUCUUCUCUUCUCUUCUCAUCACUCUCUCCUCUCUCUUCUCCCUUCCGCCAGCUUCGCUGCCUGAACCCUAGCGCCGCUGGCCGGAAAUCUCCUCAUGGAGGCGGCGCACCUCCAAUCCCCACCAAAAUCGCACCAUAUCCUCAUCUUCUCCUCCUCUCUCCAUAUCUCCAGCUCAAGUCCUCAAAAUCCCAACCAAACUCCAUGAAUCGUCAAAAAAUCAAAAAUCUAGCCGCCCCUUUCUCCUAAAAUUCGUCAAGCUUGAGACCUCACCACCACUUAAUACCUACAUGAGCGUGUAGGUAUUCCCUUGAUAUAUUACAUAGUAUUAUUUUGGACCAAAUUUUCGGUGACUAAUUCCGGCCACCACCAUCAUUGACGCACCACUUUACCACCACACUCCACCACCCAAACAACCCUGUAACUCUUCUUCCAGCAUAAACAUGAUUGCACAACACUUUUUUCUCUUUGACAUGAUUUGGAAUUAACCCCGGUAACGCGGAAAAUUAUUUUUCCAGCACAUGCUAUCGAGAAAAUAGUGCUCGGGUGGCCGUUUUGUUGCUGUUUGCAUCAUCCUUGAGAUUUGAGGACAGCCAAUUUGGAUCGUCGGUACAACCCCUAACUUUUUUUUUUAUUUUUCUUUUAGUUUGAGUUCUGCCUUUUAGUUUCUAGUUUUUUCUCUGUUUUGAUCAAUAGUAUGAUUGUUGAUUAGUCGUCUUUGUUUAACCUAGUUGUUUAUUAGAUUGUCAUAGACCAAACUGAUCUCGGUGUCGUUGAAUCAUUUAUUUAGUUAGUCGUUUAUUUAGUUGUUGUUAGUCGUUGUCGAAUAGUUAACAAUGCUCGUGUAAUUUCUGUUUCGCACUUUAAUAGGUGAAUUCAAUUUUCUAUGUUAGUUUGUACAAAUCGACUGAUUCUAAUUUACUCCCUCCGUUUUAAAUUUUUGUGAACCCAUUUGAUUAGGCACGACGUUUAAGAAACAAGAGAAGAUUUUUGAACUUGUGGUGUAAAAAAUGAGGCACAUAUAUUUUGUGUGGCCAUAAAUCAUUGUAUAAAGGUAAAUUAUUUCCAAAUAUAAAAAUGGGUCAUUCUUUUUGGAACGGACUAAAAAGAAAAUAGAUUCACAUAAAUUAAAAUGGAGGGAGUAGUUAGUUUGAGUGCUCAAUUUAGUUACAAUCAAAAGUAUUGUUUCUGCUUUGACAGUUUCAUGGUGGUUUGAGUUUGGUUUGUGUUGAUCAAGUAGGUUGGUACUGAUAGUUAAAAGCGGAAGAUUAAAUAAAGUAAUCAUGAAAUGAUGUACUUUAGUAGCCUACUUUUUAGUAGUAGGGUGAAUGAAAGGACCCUUUUCCUCCUUGCUUCUGCCACAAUAGGUUUUUCGGCUGUCCUUUCACGGACAAUCUUUGAACAGUGAUUAGCACACAAAGUCAAUCAUUUUUUGACAUAUUUUUGGUAAACCAAAAUCUGUCCAAAAAGUGACUUUUUUUGCCUACUUAAAGGCUGGCUCUUUCCUCACUUUAGACACACUCUAUCACACUAGAAAUCAGUUUUUAUACACUCAAAAGAGAACAUAAAACUUGAGAGGGAAAAAAUCAACAGUUGAACAUCAAAUAGUAAGCUGGAGCUUAUUAAAAAAAUAAAAGUCCUUAAAGCUAGUUUCUAGUUUUCUUUCACUAGAAGUUUAUUGAGUUCUAAGGGUUAUUCGGGUUUGUUCUGGGUUCAUUUCACUGCUGAUUCACUACUUAUUCGGGUUUGUUCUUGGUUCAUUUUACUACUGUUUCAUUGUUGUUUUUGUUGUCGUUUCUGGUGAUUUUACUGUUGUAUUUCUUAUUCUGCAAACCAGGUAAUUUUCUCAACUAUUGUACUACUUUUGGGUCAAGAAUGAAUGCAAAUGAAGCUAUUUGAGUUCUCUUUACUUUGUUAUAGUUUAAAAGCAUUUUGCUCCCAUUAGUUUUGUGUUUAAAUGUCAAGCAUAUGUAAUGGAUAUUGAAGGUUCAAAUUCCUUACGCAUUAAAAUAAAUUUUGUUUAAGGUCCAUUUUAUACUAUCUUUAUGUUUUUUUUUUAGAUUUGUUCUUGUGGUAUAUUUAGUUUCUU